GUACAUAAAAUCUCCCCACUGUAUUUUCUACCGCAUGCAUCUGAUGAAGUGAGCUGUAGCUCACGAAAGCUUAUGCUCAAAUAAAUUUGUUAGUCUCUAAGGUGCCACAAAUACUCCUUUUCUUAGUAACUGAACUGUUUCUUUGGAUUUAGUGGUGUGAAUUUUCCAUCUCUUUGAUGUAAUUUGUCAGUAGACUAGCAGAGAAUUUCCUGAAUCUAUACUUGUUUAACAAAGGAGUUGUGCUACUAAUUCAAUAUGCUUUAAUUGUAAUCUUAAUGUCUGUUAUAACACAGACAAACACGACAUAUCACAAGGUUCGCCAGUGUAUCCUUGAUUAAAAGGUGUUACCUAGAAUAAGAAAUUAAACUAUUUUUACAUUUGCAUUUUUACAUUUUACAAUUUUUACCUUUUUUGUUUUUUGGAAAGGGAGUGAGAUUUACAGUAAAUUCAGACAGUCCUGAGCUGGCCUAACAUUAAGAAUUUUCCAACAUGUGUGUGCUUACUUCACCACCCAGUUAUGUUCCUCCAGGUUCUUGGCUUUCAUAUGCAGUCAAAAAUUGUAUGAAAAGUGAAUGGAACUGGAACUCCUUCAGGCAAUUAUACUAACCACAACUGUUGUCUCAUUGUGGCUCAAAAUGAAGCUAGAAUAUAAAUUUGGACUAUGAUAGUGGCAAAUCAGGCCACUGAGUCAAAACUUUUACACUCUUAUUUGUGUUUCUAGUGGGAAGAAAAAAAAAAAAAAACUCUUAAAAGACAUAUUCUGACUUUCUACAACCAGAAUACCUGGAGCUGUGAUCCAAUCAUCUCACAAGCUUUUUUCUGCUUUCAUGAAAAAUCCCAAGAUUUUCAAGGCUGUUGUAAGAAAUGGUGUUGUGAUACAAUAGGUUACAUGCAUAUUUCUCAGUCAGUACAGAAUCAAUGAUCUAGCGACUUUUUGUGACACCCAUUGACUUUGGGAGAUCUACUGAAAUUGUAAGCUCUUGGGUCAAGGACUUUAAUCUUCUUAUCUUUAUGUCAUGUUCCUAGCUAUAUAGAUAAAUAACAAUACUAAUAAUUAUCAGUAAAUAGCAGCUUUGUGAGCACUGUGUAGCUGAAGACCCCAUCUUCAAUUAAUAGCUGAGAAUAAAUGUCCUAUUGUAGCAUGUUGAAUCUGUGUUCAGUGCAUUAAAUUAUUCACCCAGGUAGCACUU